GCCCAGGUGUUUAAAGGUGUGCUGCUCUCUGAGAUUUUGGGGCCGAGAGUGGGAACUCACAUUGAGAGCAUUGCUUUAUUUGUUUAUAGUUGAUUUAAUAGAGAGUUUAAUAGCAUGUUUAACAGAGCACAAAACAAAAGUAAUCCAACACUGGAAACUAGGAGGAGCUGAUCUGACUGGAAAGCGGACCAGCUACAGGCGGCGCACGGAAAAGUGGACACGCCAUUUUACUUUCUUUUGUCUUUAUUAAUUUAGCUUGUUUUAGUUUAUUGUUGUAACCUGGAACCCAUGAGGGCAAAGGGUGAAGAUGGUCAUUUAAUUUAUUUUGUGUUUGUAUGAAUGCGUUCUCUCUCUCCAUGCGGCAACCAACAGUGUUUCCCGAAACUGCCGCAUCGCCCUCCCAGUGGUGCCACGCUGUCGUGUGACAAAUGGAUUAUUAGUGAUGAAUAGUUGUUUGUCAUCUUUUCAUUACCUCAGAAAAAUGUCCAUUUAAGUCCAUUUAAGAUGGAGCAGAUAAAGUGAAAACCAUUCUUGUUUGGCAAAUUUAUGGGCAGUUGAGUCUCCCGAAUGCUCACAAGUCAGCAGCAUAUCAUGUGAUGGUACCUGUGACACCCUCAUCUCGAGACACGUCUUAGCGGUGACCCCAUUUACCCUGGCUGGAUGACACAUUGCAGCAUUGUAUUAAAACAAGGAUCCAAGGAGGGGGGAGGUCACUUUGACUUAUGAGUUGUAUUGGUGUCAAAAAAGCGCAGCGUCAGUGCCUGUCGCUUCAAUUCAUUCAAGUCAAAGCUUUUUUUCUUGAAAACUUUGCUGACAGAAAAGAAGAAAGCCGAAUGACACAAGGAGACUGUAAAUGCAUAAUGAGGACAUUGAAGAGGAGGAAAAUCAAAUGUUGUACACUGUUGUUUGUCCUUGUCACACAGCCAAGAUGGAGACACAAAGAAUAGCAUUAUCUAGUUCACAGUUAAUAUAACUUUUGGCAAACCCACUUAACUGUACUGGUGCCUUUUGUUUUUUUUCUGCAAUCCACUGGUUUUGCAGUUGCCUUGGUUUGUACAAAUAAUAAUAAAUGAACUUUAAUGAACUAGAAUAAAUACAAAUCUUGCUCACCAAAGUUUUUGACAAUUUACUUUCUUACUGCAAUUGCCACUGCAGUGGAAUUGUACACAUGGGCUAGUAAUAAUUACAGUAAUCUUCUGUGUGUGUCUGAAAGA